GGCAACUUCCGAUGUCAGUGCGCACGCUCCAGCUGAAGGACAGCGCAGAUCUUCAAGCAGUCUGUGAAAACAGGAAUGAAGAGCAGCGGAGGACGUUGGAGAGGAAACAGAUACAUUUCAAAUGCACUUGUCAGGUGUGCCCUGAGAUGGUAUGAAAGUCUACCACAGCUCUGAACCGCAACCUCAGCAUCUCAAAAGAAGACUGAAUCAAUCAAGUUUGUCAGCUUUUCACGUGAGUGGGCAGGUUUGCAGGUGUAUCUGGGGAUGCUUCUGGAGUUAC